rnacentral:rRNA from 1 species
GACGAACGCUGGCGGCGUGCUUAACACAUGCAAGUCGAACGAAGUGGCGAACGGGUGAGUAACGUGUAAUCAACCUGCCCUUCAGAGGGGGACAACAGUUGGAAACGACUGCUAAUACCGCAUACUGAAGGAGGGGAUUGUGUGUGAUUGGCUAGUUGGAGGGGUAACGGCCCACCAAGGCGAUGAUCAGUAGCCGGUCUGAGAGGGUGGACGGCCACAUUGGGGCUGAGACACGGCCCAGACUCCUACGGGAGGCAGGAGUGGGGGAUCUUCCGCAAUGGACGGAAGUCUGACGGCGCAACGCCGCGGGAGUGAUGGCGGCCUUCGGGGUGGAAAGCUCUGUUAAUCGGGACGCGGUACCGGAAUAGAAAGCCACGGCUAACUACGUGCCAGCAGCCGCGGUAAUUC